UCGGAGUGCUUGCACUCUGUGAAACAAGAUACAGGCUAGCGGCGGACGGGUGAGUAACACGUGGGUAACCUGCCCAAGAGAUCGGGAUAACACCUGGAAACAGAUGCUAAUACCGGAUAACAACAGAUGAUGCCUAUCAACUGUUUAAAAGAUGGUUCUGCUAUCACUCUUGGAUGGACCUGCGGUGCAUUAGCUAGUUGGUAGGGUAACGGCCUACCAAGGCGAUGAUGCAUAGCCGAGUUGAGAGAUUGAUCGGCCACAUUGGGACUGAGACACGGCCCAAACUCCUACGGGAGGCAGCAGUAGGGAAUCUUCCACAAUGGACGCAAGUCUGAUGGAGCAACGCCGCGUGAGUGAAGAAGGGUUUCGGCUCGUAAAGCUCUGUUGUUGGUGAAGAAGGACAGGGGUAGUAACUGACCUUUGUUUGACGGUAAUCAAUUAGAAAGUCACGGCUAACUACGUGCCAGCAGCCGCGGUAAUACGUAGGUGGCAAGCGUUGUCCGGAUUUAUUGGGCGUAAAGCGAGUGCAGGCGGCUCGAUAAGUCUGAUGUGAAAGCCUUCGGCUCAACCGGAGAAUUGCAUCAGAAACUGUCGAGCUUGAGUACAGAAGAGGAGAGUGGAACUCCAUGUGUAGCGGUGAAAUGCGUAGAUAUAUGGAAGAACACCGGUGGCGAAGGCGGCUCUCUGGUCUGUUACUGACGCUGAGGCUCGAAAGCAUGGGUAGCGAACAGGAUUAGAUACCCUGGUAGUCCAUGCCGUAAACGA
rnacentral:rRNA from 1 species